rnacentral:tRNA from 1 species
GAGGGUGUAUCUCAGUGGUAAAGUGCAUGCCUAGCAUGCAUGAGGCCCUGGGUUCAAUCCCCAGUACCUCCA